rnacentral:rRNA from 1 species
CGGCAGCGUGCGUGAAGGCAGGGGAGUCUGUAGCCCUAUUAUGUUUUUCUUCUUUCAACGAUGGACUCAGGACCCCGGCACCACCACCACAGCCCCGCCUUAUCCACUGCCGGCAUUCACAAACGGGCAGCGGCGCGCUUGCCGCGGCGUCCGCUCCGCCCGAGCCCUGUAAUUGGGCGAGGCGUCGCGGCGGCGUUCCUGCACGCCUUGUCGGCCUUGGAGCUAGCCUUGGCGGGGGCGGGCCGAGGCGUCGCGGCGGAGGACGAUAAGCAGACGAGCACGCGCCGCCGGCGCGUUUGCCGUGGGCGUCCGCUACGCCCGAGCCCAGGAGUGGGGCGAGGGGUCGCGCCGGCGUUCCUACGCGCCUUGUCGCCCUUGAAGCUGGCCUUGGCGGACCGAGGCGUCGCGGCGGAGGACGACAAGGCGGCCGACGUGCUCUGUUGGGGCCACGCGUCGCGGCGCUCCGGCUCCAGCAGAUGACGGCAGAGAGCCAGGUGUGGCUUUGUGUCGCCAACAGCCACGAGGUCAUCGGCACCGGCCACCGUGCCAGGCUGGACCAGCUGCUGCAGCCCCCCUGCGCCGUCGCCGUCGCCGUGGCAGAAGAAGCGCGAGUUCCCCCUCGCUAUCGGAGGCUGGGUGUCGUUCUCCAGUGCAGAUUGUCUAAUUGAGUUUCUGAAAGCGUCGUCCACGUCUGCACUUCAUGGGUCCAUACACUGGGAACUCACGCCUGAGAACUUCCUGCUCACCAGAUUGGUUUCAGUUUCUCUGUCUCCAUCGAAGAAGUGGCAAGCAUGGUUAGGGCGAGCAACGAGGGUUCCUGUAGUGCAUAACCAUUUCAAGUCGCCCAAGUUCUAAAGAGAGAUCAGAAGUGCCAGCUACUGAAGCAAAAAAAAGGACCUGAUACACAUUGUAAUCAUGGACUGCUGAUAUACCUGAUGCAUUUCUUCAUGAUGGUCGAUUUCCUUUCACCGGAUCUUACAUGUUUAAUUAUGUGUGCUCGGAACCAAAAACUGAUUGAGAUCUUCAGUUCUUACUUGCAGAUGUUCUGUUAUUCAGAGUGAUAUUCCUUGGUUGCAGCUGACGCUAAAAAAAAUUACUCCUGAAGCACUAGAAGUGCCCUCUCUAUGGUGCAUCACUCACUGGAUCCAGAUGGGCAACAUUCCGCUUCAAGAUUAAAGAGUACAGUUUUUGCAUGCUAUCAUUGCUUAUCCAAGAGUAAUCUACCAUGUGCCUAAUUGUUAUGACCGGCCAGGUCUAUGGCCGCCGCAGGCCUAACAGGCAGGCGUAGGCCAGCAAGUUACCUUAGUUUUAUUCAGAUUAGGCAAGUUAUCUCAGGAUUGAUUCUUCUACAAGUUAUCUAGGAUAUAAAUAUAGAUUGUAAGACUCUUUUGGAUGGAAGCAAUAAAGACUAUUAUUAUCUUUUGUUGCCCGGCUCCUAGAGGAGCCGGAAACCCUAGCCGCCGCAACCUAGCCGCCACCGCCCUCAACCCUAGCCGCGACGGCGCCCUGCCGCCGGCACGCCCGCUCCUCGCCGCGCCCACUUCCUCUUUGCCCCUACAACCUACGCAGUAGAGCCGGUAGGAACCCUAGUCCUACCAAUUUGGUAUUCAGAGACCACGUUGUGAUCAUGUCGAUGCCGCCAUCACCGCCGCCGCUGCCCGUCGGCACCACCGCGCCCAUGACGACGGCGCCAAGCAUCACCGCGCCGACCACAUCCGUCGGGACCUCGCUGGCGUGUCCCGUCUCCUCCUCGGCACCACCUGCACCGGCGUCUCCGGGCGCAUCUCCACCACCACCGCUGGCCGCCUUGUCUCCGGAGCAACUCGCCGCCACGCUACAUCACCUCGUCACCGUCGUCCACUGGCUUCAGCUCCACCAGCAAUAUAGGGCCGGGGCCUAUGCUCAACCACCAUCGGGCCCGAUCGCCGCCCCUGGUCUUCUCCUACAGCAGCAGCCGCAGUACGGGGGCGGGGCGAGCCCCUUCGCGCCACCACCAGGACCGUACCAGGGCGCGGCCGCGUACGGCGGGCCGCUGUUCGGGCCGAUCCAGGCGAGAUUGGCAUCCGGGCCAGCGCCGGCCGCGACGCCCCUCUGGCCUUUGCCGCCGGCCACCUCGGCCGCCUCCUAGCUGCAGCAGCUGCCGCCCACCGUCUGGCCGGUUCAGCAGAUGCCGUUCCCCGCAUGGCCGGCCCAGCAGCCGCCGCCGACGGCGUCCCAGGGCCUGCGUCCACCGCCAUUCUCUGCGCCCUCAUCAGCCGGGACCACCUCGGGCGCGGCCUCGACUAUCGGGUUACCGAUCCAUCAGGUCCAGUUUCCCCCGUCCCCGUCCCCCCUGCCAGCAUGGGCGGCGGGGUCUUCGCCUUCACCGGUCUACUCCACGACCCCGGUUGAGCCGACUCCGUUUUCGCAGUUCGGCGGGCCAUCCGGCCCCGCCGGCCAGUACCCGGACUACUCCGAUCAGGCACCUCCGGCUUCACUCUUCCGAGCCCCCGCGCCUGCUCAGCACGGCGGGCCGCAGGAGACACCGCCGCUGUUCACCAAACUCGACUUCGCCACCUAUGAGGGCACGGAUGACCCCCUCAACUGGCUCAACCAGUGCGAACAGUUCUUUCGAGGGCAGCGGACACUCGCUUCAGAUCGUACCUGGCUCGCGUCCUAUCAUCUUCGAGGCGCAGCACAGACCUGGUACUACGCCCUCGAGCAGGACGAGGGCGGCAUGCCACCGUGGGAGCGCUUCCAGGAGCUCUGUCUUCUCCGUUUUGGGCCUCCUAUCCGCGGGAGCCGACUGGCGGCCCUCUGCCGUUUACCAUUCACAUCUACGGUGCAGGACUACGCCGAUCGCUUCCAGGCCCUGGCAUGCCACGCGCCGGGCGUCUCCGCGACCCAGCGCGCCGAGCUCUUUGUGGGCGGUCUGCCGGACCAUAUCCGCGUGGACGUCGAGCUCCGGGAUCCCCCCGAUCUCCAGACGGCCAUGUACUACGCCCGGGCCUUCAAGCAGCGGGCCCAGGCACUGCAGCCGCCACUCGGACGGAGUGGCCGCCAGCCCAGUCGGCCAGCACCGACUUCCUCAGCCCCGGGUCGGCCUCUCCCAUCCGCGACGGCCACAUCCCCGGCUGCCACACGGCCCUUCCGUCGGCUGUCACCGGCCGAGCAGCAGGAGCGUCGCAGUCAGGGUCUCUGCUUCAACUGCGAUGAGCCCUAUACGCCGACCCAUGUCUGCCCCCGCCUCUUUUAUUUAGAGACGGUCGACUACACCGAGGAGAACGACUCGCCCGAUCCGUUACAUCCGCCUGCGGCGCCCGAGGACGCGGCCGCGGAUUCCGCAGCGACGGCGUGCAUCGUCUCCCUUCAUGCCCUGGCCGGCAUCCGGGGCGAGCAGACCAUGCUGCUGCCGGUGACGAUCCAUGGUGAGCGCCUGGUGGCCCUGCUAGAUACGGGCUCCACACACAACUUUCUGUCCGAAUCGACCAUGCGUCGGCUAGCCCUCCCGACGACGGGCGGGGAGCGCCUGCGGAUCACAGUGGCGAACAGUGAUCGCCUCCGGUGCCAUGGGCUAGCCCGCGACGUUCCCAUCUCCAUCAGCGACGAACACUUUUCCAUCACUUGUGCAGGGAUCGAUCUCGGCUGCUUCGACUUCAUCCUCGGGGUGGACUUUCUCCGGACCCUCGGCCCCAUCCUAUGGGAUUUCGACGCACUCAUGAUGACAUUCUGGCGGCAGGGACGCCGCAUCCGGUGGGAGGGCAUUGGGGGCGCCGCGGCUGCCGUGCCACAUCUCCAGCUUGCUGCCGCGUCCUUGGAGGUUGAGCACCCCCUACUGGAUUCUCUUCUAGAGCAGCACAACGACCUCUUCGACGCUCCGCGGGGUCUUCCGCCUGCCCGGGUGUACGACCAUCAUAUUCACCUCGUACCAGGCUCCACUCCGGUGGCGGUACGGCCCUACCGCUACCCCCAGCUGCAGAAGGAUGAGUUGGAGCGCCAGUGUGCCCUGAUGCUCGCCGCAGGCAUCAUCCGGAUCUCCACGUCACCCUUCACGGCGCCGGUGCUUCUCGUCCGUAAGUCCGACGGCACAUGCCGCUUCUGCAUCGACUACCGCGCCCUCAACGCACUCACGCUCAAGGACAAGUUCCCUAUACCGGUGGUCGACGAGCUCUUGGAUGAGAUCCAUGGGGCACGCUUCUUCACCAAGCUCGAUCUUCGGUCGGGCUAUCAUCAGGUGCGCAUGCAUCCGGACGACAUCGCCAAGACGGCGUUUCGCACCCACCAUGGCCACUUCGAGUUCUUGGUGAUGCCUUUCGGCCUCGCCAACGCCCCGGCGACUUUCCAAGCCCUGAUGAACGACGUCCUUCGACCCUACUUACGGCGGUUUGUGCUUGUUUUCUUUGAUGACAUUCUUAUCUACAGCGCCACCUGGGCCAAACAUCUCCAGCACGUCGCCAUCGUCUUCAACGAGUUUCGGGCGCACCACCUCCACCUUAAGCGCUCAAAGUGCUCGUUCGGGACACCUACCGUCGCCUACCUCGGCCAUGUCAUCUCGGCCGACGGAGUGGCUAUGGACGCCGAUAAGGUGGCGGCCGUCUCCGCCUGGCCGACGCCUUACUCACCGCGGGCUCUCCGCGGGUUCCUCGGACUCGCUGGCUACUACUGGAAAUUUAUCCGGGAGUUCGGACUCAUCGCGGCGCCCCUCGCGUGGUUGCUUCGCCGCGAUGCCUUCGCCUGGGACGCUGAGGCGACGACGGCAUUCGAGGCCCUCAAGGGGGACCUCACGACGGGCCCCGUCCUCCAGAUGCCCGACUUCGACCGUCCGUUCGUGGUGGACUGUGACGCCUCGGGCGCCGGGUUCGGCGCAUUACUUCAUCAGGGCGAUGGGCCCCUCGCCUUCUUCAGCCGGCCUUUCGCUCCGCGCCAUCUUAAGUUGGCCGCUUACGAGCGGGAGCUCAUUGGCCUCGUCCAGGCCGUGCGUCAUUGGCGGCCAUACUUGUGGGGGCGGACCUUCCACAUUCGCACGGACCACUACAGCCUGAAGUUCUUGCUGGAUCAACGGCUGUCGACCGUACCGCAGCACCAGUGGAUCAGCAAGCUCUUCGGCUUCGACUUCUUCGUCGAGUAUCGGUCGGGCCGUCUUAACACCUUGGCCGACGCGCUAUCCCGUCGCGAUUCCGACCUCGCGCCAACCGCCGACGCGUCCGCCGGGACGGCCCUGUGCAUCCGCUUCAGGCCAUCGUUCGGUCUCUUCACCGACAUUCGACGCGCCACUGCGACGGCCGAUGACGCCGCACUUCUUCAGCAGCAGCUUGCGGUCAGCGACUUGGAGGAGCCCUGGCGCUUCUCUGACGGACUGCUCCUGCAUGGACACCGGAUCUUUGUUCCGGCGCAUGAUGAUCUCCGUCACCAGGUGUUGCAGCUCGCUCACUCGGCGGGCCAUGAGGGUGUGCAGAAAACCCUCCAUCGUCUUCGCGCCGACUUCUACAUCCUUGGCGAUCGUGCCCUGGUCCGCGACUGGGUUCGGUCUUGUCAGACUUGCCAGCGCAACAAGACAGAAACCCUGAGACCGGCGGGGCUCCUUCAGCCCUUGGAGGUGCCGUCUCAGGUUUGGGCGGAUAUCUCCUUGGACUUCAUCGAGGGCCUUCCCAAGGUAGGGGGCAAGUCAGUCAUCCUCACGGUGGUCGAUCGCUUCUCUAAGUAUGCCCACUUCAUCGCGUUGGGCCAUCCGUACACAGCGGCAUCCGUGGCCCGGGCUUUCUUCAACGGCAUAGUCUGUCUACACGGGUUCCCGAUGUCGAUCGUCAGUGAUUGGGACCCAAUCUUCACGGGCCAUGUCUGGCGCGACCUCUUCAGGAUGGCGGGUGUCCAGCUCCGCCUGAGUAUGGCGUUCCAUCCUCAGAAUAACGGUCAGUCUGAGGUGGUUAACAAGGUCAUUGCCAUGUAUUUGCGUUGUGUGACAGGUGAUCGACCUCGCGCUUGGGUGGACUGGCUAUCUUGGGCGGAGUACUGCUACAACACUUAUUAUCACUCCACCCUGCGCGCGACGCCAUUUGAGGUGGUCUAUGGUCGACCACCCCCGCCUAUACUUCCGGUCGACCCGGAGACGGCUCGGACAGCAGUAGCGGGUGACCUUAUCUGCACCCGUGAUGAGAUGCUGGCUGAGGUCCGUCAGCGUCUCCUUCAGGCCCAGCAGACGGCCAAGCACUACUACGACGAUCAUCAUCGCGAGGCGGAGUUCGCAGUGGGUGACUGGGUGUGGCUGCGUCUUCUCCACCGCUCUACGCAGUCACAGGACCCGCAGGCAAAGCGCAAGCUUGGCCCUCGCUACGCCGGGCCCUUCCCUAUCAUGGAGCGCAUUGGGAAGGUGGCCUAUCGUCUUCAGCUUCCAGCCCGCGCCCGCAUCCACGACGUGUUCCAUGUGGGGCUGCUCAAACCUUUCCGUGGCGAGCCACCGGCGGCUCCUCCGACGCUUCCUCCAACCGCCGAUGGUCGCAUUCUUCCAGAGCCAGCAAAGGUGUUGCAGGCUCAGCUCCGUCGUGGCGUCUGGUUCAUCCUAAUUCAGUGGGCGGGCCUUCCGGAGGAAGAGGCGACUUGGGAGCAGCGUGAGGAUUUCCGUCAAAACUAUCCAGACUUUCAGCUCGAGGACGAGCUGUUUGCGCAGGCGGGGAGAGAUGUUAUGACCGGCCAGGUCUAUGGCCGCCGCAGGCCCAACAGGCAAGCUUAGGCCCGCAAGUUACCUUAGUUUUAUUCAGAUUAGGCAAGUUAUCUCAGGAUUGAUUCUUCUACAAGUUAUCUAGGAUAUAAAUAUAGAUUGUAAGACUCUUUUGGAUGGAAGCAAUAAAGACUAUUAUUAUCUUUUGUUGCCCAGCUCCUAGAGGAGCCGGAAACCCUAGCCGCCGCAACCUAGCUGCCACCGCCCUCAACCCAAGCCGCGACGGCGCCCUGCCGCCGGCGCGCCCGCUCCUCGCCGCGCCCACUUCCUCUUUGCCCCUACAACCUACGCAGUAGAGCCGGUAGGAACCCUAGUCCUACCACUAAUAUAUAUACAUGAUUGUUGCACCAUCACAAGAUUUCCAUUAUAUACAUGGGCAUAACUUUCUUUUACUGUGAAUUAAUCGACACGAUGCUUGUGUUUUAAGGAAUGGCAAUGCUAAAUUCUACAGUGGUACACUCUACUCUGUCGAAUGUUUACAAACACCACAAAGCUAGAGAUCUAUUGUGGAAACCUUUCUUUCUUUUGUUUGUUAUAACUUCUUAGUGUAAAAAUAAAUAUGGCUUGUCCAUUACGAAACAAAUAUGUAAGAUUUAUUACUUUUCAAAGUUGAAUUGUUCCUGACAAUUACACAUGAGAGUGCAUAUAAUUCAGUUGUGCUGACUUGCUGUUUCUAAAAUGAUAAGCUGGAGCUGGAGUUACAUAUGAGAGUACAGAUAAUUAAGUUGUGCUCCUGACUUGAUUAACAAAAGCUGCAGAAGAAAGGGACAAAAUACCAAAAAGCUGAAAAUUUGAAGAAAGGUGGAAGUAGGGAACUACCCAACUUGAUUCAAGAUUACGAAGGGAAAAAGGGCAUUGAUUGAGCAGGAGAAAACAAUAAUGGGCCGAGGCAAGGAUAUAGUGCUCAGUUAGUAAAGAGAUAUGUAGGAAGUGGAGCAGCGGGAUGCAAAUGGAAUUUUUGUGACUCACUGAAGGUGAGCAAAACUUCAGAAAAGAAAUUGCAACAGAAGUAGAGCCUCAUCACCAAGAGAACAUAGGGAUUUUAAGUUUUUUGUAGCCUGCACCGGAGACUGUAGAGUUAAGUUUCUACAUCUCAGUGUACAAUUUAACUAUAUCAGGUAAUUUACUAUGUAGUAAAUAUUUGCUUUUGCCAUUGCUGAUCAUGUCCUUCUCUCUGUGCUUGGAAGCAUAAACUUACUUAGCGAUCCUUUUUUGUUAGGCUAAACUUACAUCCUUCUGCUAAUAGUUUAGUGAUCUAAUGAUUAUAAUGAUUAUUCAAAAGG